CAAGAGCUCUUCAAUUUUCCAUCUUCAAAUCUUGCACAAAUCAUCAACCAAAUCAAACCAAAAUUGAAGUACACCUAGUUGAACACUUGGAGAUUGUAUCUUGUUAAAAAAGGGGGAGCUUUUCACGGUUUUCUUGGAGCAAGGAGGGACCAAAAAUUUCUGUUUUGCACACCAAGUGAAGUAGGUAACGAUCAAACCUUGAAAACUUGGUUUAUGGAAGUUCUUGUGCUCAUAUAUACUCAUGCAUAUUAGUGGGUAGCAUUAUUUUGAGGAAAAUUUGGUUGUGUGGGCUCUAUGAACUCUCACCUUGGAUGUAUGGACUGAUUUGUGGUGUUUUGCUGGUAAUGAUGUUUAUUUAGUGUCUAAACUAGUGGAUUAAUGUUGGAUUGUUGAUAGAAACUCAAGGUGGAGCAAUAACCAAAAGUGACCAUUUUACCCCUGCUUUGUUCGAGCACUUUGGUGCAAAAUUUUGAUAUUCUAAUGGCUUGUUUAUGUUUUUUACAUGUUAUAUUGAGUGUGUAAAAAGUUCCAUUGAUAAAUAACUUGAUUUGGUUACCCAAAUGUUGGAUUUACGAAAGCUUAGAAAUCUGGAAACUAUUCCAGUAUUCACCCAGGCAGUGUUUUUGUUUCGGCUAUAUCUUUUUACUCCAAUGUCGGAAUCGAGUACCGUUUGCGGCAAUGGAAACUAGACAUUCCCAGCUUUCUGUUGGUAUAAAAUGCACAUUCUGGUUCCACUUGUGUGAGCCAGACCAUUCGUUUGAAAAUUUCUGUUCUGUUUCAUUGGUUCACUACAGGGCAGAACAUGAACUACAACUUAAGGCUCAAAUAUGAGCUAGUUGUGGAUGGAUUUUGAAAAUGAUUUCUUCUGAGAAAUUGUAGCUUUAUGAAUGUGUUUUCCAACGCCACCAACCACACUCAAUUCCAAGUUGAAUUGAGUGAAUUAUGGCCAAAUUACAGACCUGGAUUUUUGCUUGAAAAUCCUCUUUUGGCUAGUUAAAUGGCCUAGCUUGAUUUGGGACUUGUUGUUUUGGAAACUUUGAUGUCCAACAUCUACCAAACUUUAUAUUAGAUGUUCCUUGGACUUUGUUUCACAAAUAAACCAGAUUUGGGUUGGUUGCAUUGGACAAAAUGUUUAAAAAGGAAAGAAGAGCUAGAAGACAGUUUUGCCUUGGGAAAUUUCUUGAACUUUGAUGGUUUAGUUAACUACCCUCCCGUAUGAAUUUUCAAAUGAAAUUUGAUAGAGGAAUAGUCCUCAUAUGGAGGUUUAAUUUUACAAAAUUUGGUGGUAUUCUAAGACCAUUUUUAUAUACAAAUGAUGUUCCGAAAUUGCUCUUCGAAUCUGGAAAACUUUUCCUUUUCUCUUAGCCGAAUGGCCAAUCUUGACUUGGGACUUGUUAUUUCGAAAUUCUUGGAGUUAAUCACCUAAGAAAAUGUAUCUUGAAUAUUACUUAGACAUUGUCUACACAAAUGAACCAUGUUUGAAAAUAUUUCAUUAGCCAAAGAUUUAGAAAAGGGAAAUGGUAGCACAAGGCAGUUUUGCCUUGAAAAUUUAGAAACUUUCGUGACUUUGUUAACUGACUUCCCGUACGUAUUUUUCCAUGAAAUUUGACAGAGGAAUGGCCCUUAUAUGGUAGUGUAAUACUACCAAAUUUGGUGCCAUUCAGAGUCCAUUUCGAUACUCAAUCAAAGUCCCAAAGUACUUGAUUUAAACCUGGAAUUUGCUUAACAGUUUCACUUUUUCACCAAUUCUGAGCUACUAUAUCUUGGUGCUCAAAACUCCAAUUCUUGUUUUGAUUUUUGUGUUUUAAACUUUGAUUGUAACUCUAAUUUAGUUCCGAAUUUCAGAUGCUAGUUCACAUUGUGUGAAUUUUUCCGAAUUUCCAAAGUUGGCCAAAAACCAACCUCGAAACUAUCUUGCAAGCCUAAAACAGUAAUUUUGAGCCAAAUUUUGAAUGUCUUUCAUUUGGAAUCGUUGAUUUGAGCGUUGCUCAUCGACUUAUAUUCGUAUUCGUACUCGUAUUCGGGGGACGCCCAAACUCGUUGGUUAACUUUGCGAAUCGAGCCAGCAUGGACUUGGUCGAUAAACUUAGCCAACCAUGAGAUAUUCGUAGAGCAUGAUCAAUUGGAGAGAUCUUGCUCGCCAUUACUCGUGCAGUAUUGCCAUGAUAUACUCGAGUAUUAUCAAAACUUUGAUAAGCGGGCCCGAUAAGGGGGUGUAACGGUGACGGGAUUCGAAGAAAAGUGGUGUAUCUACGGAUUUGAUACUUAUUGGUUGACGGAGUGUCAACGUGAGAUGUGAUCAAGACUUCGACUCGACUCGACUACGUGGAAUUUAACUCUUGAGAGUUACAGUAUCCUUGAAUUGUUUCUGUUUAUUUUUCCUGUUCGAAAAAUGAAUUAUUCGAAUUUUAUAGCUUUACUUACUAUGUAAUUUGUGGCUACUUGGAUUAUGUGUUUGCAUGUGUGUUUCUUGGCCUCACUGAGUAUUGGCUCAUCUCAUUAGUUUGUUUUCCUUAACAGGUUGGAUUGGAAGAUUUUGGAAAAGCCGG
rnacentral:lncRNA from 1 species